AGGCGCCCUGAAGAAAAACCUGACAGCCGAGCAGAUCAAAGAGGACCUCGUGACGUUAGGACUGAACGAAGACAAGGCGGCUCACUUUUCACAGCAGUGGGGGGAGCACUACGCAGCGCUGUCCAGACUCGCCAUGACACAAACUCUGAUGGUCAACCAGCUGGUCGACAUGGAGUGGAAAU